UCCGUUGGUGAACCAGCGGAGGGAUCAUUACCGAGUUUACAACUCCCAAACCCAAUGUGAACGUUACCAAACUGUUGCCUCGGCGGGAUCUCUGCCCCGGGUGCGUCGCAGCCCCGGACCAAGGCGCCCGCCGGAGGACCAACCAAAACUCUUUUUGUAUACCCCCUCGCGGGUUUUUUAUAAUCUGAGCCUUCUCGGCGCCUCUCGUAGGCGUUUCGAAAAUGAAUCAAAACUUUCAACAACGGAUCUCUUGGUUCUGGCAUCGAUGAAGAACGCAGCGAAAUGCGAUAAGUAAUGUGAAUUGCAGAAUUCAGUGAAUCAUCGAAUCUUUGAACGCACAUUGCGCCCGCCAGUAUUCUGGCGGGCAUGCCUGUCCGAGCGUCAUUUCAACCCUCGAACCCCUCCGGGGGGUCGGCGUUGGGGAUCGGCCCUCCCUUAGCGGGUGGCCGUCUCCGAAAUACAGUGGCGGUCUCGCCGCAGCCUCUCCUGCGCAGUAGUUUGCACACUCGCAUCGGGAGCGCGGCGCGUCCACAGCCGUUAAACACCCAACUUCUGAAAUGUUGACCUCGGAUCAGGUAGGAAUACCCGCUGAACUUAA
rnacentral:rRNA from 1 species